rnacentral:lncRNA from 1 species
GGCACGUGGGUGGCUCGGGGAUGGGGGGGGCACUUGUGUGAUAAGGGGAUGGGGGGUGAGCCUGGGACAAGGGGACAAUGGUGGCACAUGAGUGGCACGGGGAUGGGGGUGGCACUUUGGUGACAAGGGGACAAUGGUGGCACAUGGGGGUGGCACCUCUGGGACAAGGGGACAAUGGUGGCACGUGGGUGGCACGGGGAUGGGGGUGGCACCUCUGCGAUGAGGGGAUGGGGGGGUGAGUUGCGGACAUGGGGACAAUGGUGGCACGUGGGUGGCUCGGAGAUGGGGGUGGCACUUUUGUGACAAGGGGACAACGGUGGCACAUGGGGGUGGCACCUCUGGGACAAGGGGACAAUGGUGGCACGUGGGUGGCACGGGGAUGGGGGUGGCACCUCUGGGAUGAGGGGAUGGGGGGGUGAGUUGGGGACAUGGGGACAAUGGUGGCACGUGGGUGGCACGGGGAUGGAGGGGGCACUUUUGUGACAAGGGGACAACGGUGGCACAUGGGGGUGGCACCUCUGGGACAAGGGGACAAUGGUGGCACGUGGGUGGCACGGGGAUGGAGGUGACACUUGCGUGACAAGGGGACAAUGGUGGCUCAUGGAUGGCACGGGGAUGGGGGUGGACAUGGCGAUGAUGGUGAUGGUGAUGAUAGUGAUGAUGGUGAUGGUGGUGAUGGUGGCGAUGAUGGUGAUGGUGCUGGUGUUGGUGGUGGUGUUGAUGGUGCUGGUGUUGGUGAUGAUGGUGAUGGUGAUGAUGGUGGUACUGGUGAUGUUGAUGAUGGUGGUGGUGUUGGUGACGAUGAUGGUGCUGGUAUUGGGGAUGAUGAUGAUGAUGCUGGUGAUGAUGGUGCUGGUGCUGGUGAUGUUGAUGAUGGUGGUGGUGCUGAUAGUGGUGGUGUUGAUGGUGGUGGUGUUGGUGAUGACAAUGGUGGUGCUGGUGUUGGUGAUGAUGAUGAUGAUGACGGUGAUGAUGGUGAUGAUGGUGCUGGUGUUGGUGGUGAUGAUGAUGAUGAUGGUGUUGGUGAUGAUGAUGGUGAUGAUGGUGAUGAUGGUGCUGGUGUUGGUGAUGAUGAUGAUGGUGCUGGUGUUGGUGAUGAUGAUGGUGCUGGUGUUGGUGAUGAUGAUGAUGGUGCAGGUGUUGGUGAUGAUGAUGGUGGUGCUGGUGUUGGGUCCUUACCGCGUCUGCACGGUGAAGCAGUUGGCUCUUCCCACCAGGCCGCUCUCCAGGCCGGGCCCGUGGGCGCUGACGCGCGUGGGAUCGCAACCCUCGGCCACGGCCACACGGAACGGGCUCUGCGGCACCGCCACCUCCUGGAACGUCACCUCCACCACGUGCAGCCCUGCACGAGGGACACGACGCGGCGUCACCGGGGAUGGGGGGCACACCAACCACCUGGGGCACGCUGGGGUCCCAAGGGGGGGAUACGGGGUCCCAAGGGGGAGAUUUGGGGUCCUAAGA